rnacentral:rRNA from 1 species
UGGGGAAUCUUGGACAAUGGGGGCAACCCUGAUCCAGCGAUGCCGCGUGGGUGAAGAAGGCCUUCGGGUUGUAAAGCCCUUUAGGCUGGGAAGAAGAAUAUGGGAUGAAUAAUCCUGUAUUUUGACGGUACCAGCAGAAUAAGCACCGGCAAACUCUGUGCCAGCAGCCGCGGUAAUACAGGGGGUGCAAGCGUUAAUCGGAUUUACUGGGCGUAAAGGGCGCGUAGGCGGUUAUAUGAGUGUGAUGUGAAAGCCCCGGGCUCAACCUGGGAAGUGCAUCGCAAACGAUAUAACUGGAGUAGGUGAGAGGGUGGCGGAAUUUCCGGUGUAGCGGUGAAAUGCGUAGAGAUCGGAAGGAACGUCAAUGGCGAAGGCAGCCACCUGGCACCAUACUGACGCUGAGGCGCGAAAGCGUGGGGAGCGAACAGG